UAAGGGUCAUUCCAUGGGGUUGGGGCAAAAAUUGUGACAUCAGGGUCAAAAAAUAGAAAUGUAAUAAAUGAAAUGUUUUAUUUCUUAUAUGUUUCAUGGGACAAUCCUUCAACUAAAUCCACUUACAGGCAUUUCAUACCACCCUGCAUAUUGGAGUAAACUGAGAAAUAAGAUUUGACAAAAUACCACCGUUACAUGGACAUCAUUUAUCAUCCUUACUAAGACUAUGCUCUCCCACUGUCAAAAUAAAGGGGUUGAUCUCCAUUACUCUUGAUAAAUAUUUUGCUAACAACAUUGUUAGUCAUUUUAUUCCACACUUUUCAACAUGGCAUAUAUAUUUUGAAAGAUUUAGCAUCAAUAAAUGGAACUUGAUGCUCUGUGUGUAUACCAGUGCCAUGUUCUGUGUCGUUCUUUUUUCUCACCAGUCUAGAAAAUUGAAUUUAUGAUGGCAUGUAGAACUAAAUAGUUGAGAGAAGUCAUGCCUCAACAGAAUGGAAUAUUCUCUUUGGACAAAAUAAACUACUCUUUCUGGCAUAACCUUCUAUUUUUGGUGUUACCACCGUUACAUGGACAUCAUGUCUCAGUAACAGAGGUAUACUUAGAAGCAAUGUUAAGUUAAUGUCCAUUAAUGGCCAUUACACACCAAAUUCCACUUCAUGCCUUAGAAUAUUUGCACAAGAUCAAUUGAUUACACUAAAGAAAACAUUUUGCAUGUCAAAUUCUUUGCAAAUAAAAGCAAAUUAAAUUAGAGUUUAAACAAGGAAAAAUGUACAAAAUUAUUGACAAAUUAUAUUUAAAAUCAUACUACGAUAAUCCUCAAGUUUCCACUUCCGUCUACCUCUGGAAACAUUUACGUUUCUGCCUAAAUGGAAAAAACAAAACAGUGCUAUCUUAUGAUCUCCAAUUCUUUUUACUUUAAAAUAACUCCUUCAAGAUAUUACUUUCAAAUGUACAUACCACCGUUACAUGGACAUCAUGUCUCAGUAACAGAGGUAUACUUUGAAGCAUUGCUAAGUUAAGGUCCAUUAAUGGCCAUUAAACACCAAAUUCCACUUCAUGCCUUAGAAUAUUUGCACAAGAUCAAUUGAUUAUACUUAAAAACAUUUUUCAUGUCAAAUUCUUUGCAAAUAAAAGCAAUUUAAAUUAGAGUUCAAACAAGGAAAAAUGUACAAAAUUAUUGAUAAAUUUAUAUUUCAAAUAAUACUAAGGUAAUCCUCAAGGUUCCACUUCCGUCUAUCUCUGGAAACAAAUGUUUCUGUCUAAAGCGGAAAAAAACAAGAGUGCUAGCUUAUGAUCUCCAAAUCUUUAUUACUUUAAAAUAUCUCCUUCACGGUAUUACUUUCAAAUGUACAUACCUCCGUUACAUGGACAUCAUGUCCUUGUAAUGAUCAUAUUGAAUAGUAUUACAUGUACUUGCCAUUCUUUUAGUAUCAACACACUAAUGCGAGUUAACUCAUCUUACUCAAGUGUAGAAAUACAACAUCUACAGGCAAGCUUCUAAAAUGCAUCAAUGAACAGGUUACAAGUUUAUGAACUUCAAGAUGAUCGGUGACCCAAUGACAACUGUGUGGAAGAGGACUCUGUCAAUGUCACAAAAUAGAUAGAGGUAGAAUUGUGCCUCGCCAUCAGGCCAGGAGUACAGGUCACCAGAUUGACACUUCAUGUACUGAAGAUAUACAUUUUUACCUUCGAAAGAGGCUACCUGUAGUUAUUUGAGAAAAAUAGUAUUUGGAAGUUUGACUAUUUUUUUACACAAUUCAAAUUAUUACAUUUUAAUCAACAAAACUUGCUGGAUUGUUUCCACGAUAUUUUAUAUUAUUAUAUGAAAUCAUUUACUCAUGUACAUGUCUUGACAUUUUCUCAUUAAAGUAAGGGGGGUGGAUUACUAGGG
rnacentral:lncRNA from 1 species